rnacentral:rRNA from 1 species
GGGCCCGCACAAGCAGCGGAGCAUGUGGCUUAAUUCGAAGCAACGCGAAGAACCUUACCAGGGCUUGACAUCCAGGUGAAGCGGCGGAAACGCCGUGGCCGAGAGGAGCCUGGACAGGUGGUGCAUGGCUGUCGUCAGCUCGUGUCGUGAGAUGUUGGGUUAAGUCCCGCAACGAGCGCAACCCUCGUCGCAUGUUGCCAGCGGUUCGGCCGGGCACCCAUGCGAGACCGCCGGCGUCAAGCCGGAGGAAGGUGGGGACGACGUCAAGUCAUCAUGCCCCUUAUGUCCUGGGCUGCACACGUGCUACAAUGACCGGCACAAUGGGCUGCCACUGCGCGAGCAGGAGCGAAUCCCCAAAGCCGGCCCCAGUUCGGAUUGGAGGCUGCAACCCGCCUCCAUGAAGUCGGAGUUGCUAGUAAUCGCGGAUCAGCACGCCGCGGUGAAUGCGUUCCCGGGCCUU